UACGUAGGGAGCAAGCGUUGUCCGGAAUCAUUGGGCGUAAAGCGCGCGUAGGCGGCCUCAUAAGUCCGUUGUGAAAGUCAAAGGCUCAACCUUUGAAAGCCGAUGGAUACUGUGAGGCUAGAGUCCGGAAGAGGCGAGUGGAAUUCCUGGUGUAGCGGUGAAAUGCGUAGAUAUCUGGAGGAACACCGGUGGCGAAGGCGGCAUCCUGGGCAGUGGCUGACGCUGAUGCGCGACAGCGUGGGGAGCAAACAGG
rnacentral:rRNA from 1 species